UUUUAUUGAUUAAAAUUGUUUGCUAGUUCAAUUAACUGCCUGCUCAUUUCAUCUAUACAGUCUGCUUGAUGUCCUUUUUGUGAAUAUUAGGAACUUAAUAAAGUUAAUUAAAAUAAAGAUAUUUAGGAGAGUCUUUAGGUGUUUCUAGAAAAAGAGCCGCUGAAAAAAAGGGACAGCUGCCCAAUUUAUUAAGAAAAGAUGCUGAAAAUGAGAUAAAUAUCUUAAAACAGGUACAACUGUCCAAAAAUUGUUAGAAAAGAUGCCAUUCCCCUUAAAUUUUUGGAGGUGAUAGAUUCCCUCUUAGACUCUCUCAUUCCCUAUCUUCUUGCACGCCAUUUUCGGGUUUAGGAAGGGUAGUGUAUAUGCGGAUCUUAGCUCUGCUCUGGAAUACAGAGCCUGUUUCCAAAUAGACCACCGGUAUCUUUCCCUCCAAGAACUUCCCACCUUGCUCUUGGAAAUACUCGAACUCACAAUCUCCCAGUUGAAAGUGGGGUUGCUUACCAUCAGAGCAACCCCUCUUGACCAAAAUUCUCUACAGAAGUUACUGAUAUAUUUCACUCUUCAUCCCUAAUUUUUUCUAAGAAAAGACGCUAAAGAAUUCACUCAAACUUCAGUAGAGAAAAUUUUCCAGAACUCCAGCUUCCUUUUAAAUUUUCAGAAAAACAUCAAAAAAAAAGAGAAGGAAUUCUCUUAGAUUGUUUCAUUUUCACUAUUACUGUUAAAUUUUAAACAUUUCCUCAGCUUUCGUCUCGCCAUUUUUUAGUUUUUAUUUUUUGUUGUUUAGUAAUUUAUGGGAUUCUAAGAGUGGUCGAAAUUCUCAAAGUUAUUGAUUGAUUGUUGGAUUAGUUGUUGAAUUCCAUUCAAGCUUGUUUCUUACAUUUAUUUGGUUCAUUUCCAGUGAGUUCAUUGCUGAAUAGGUAAGUUCACUUUAUCAUGUAUUAUCUCCACUUUGAAUGAUUAAUAGUGAUGUUGUCCUGUCAUAUUACUUCCCGGGAAUCAAUUUCCAUUUGUUUGUAUGAUAGAUCUGUGUAGCUUUAGACCUAACGUUAUAUGCGCAUGACUUGAUUGAAUGUAAAGGACUUUCAACAUGUACUCAUCUAAUGGUUUAGUUUGUUUGUUGAAUGUAUGAUCCUUCUUAUUUACAAUGAUUUCAGAACUAAUAUUUUUGAAAAAUUCUAUUCCAAUCAUAAGGAUACGCUUGGAUUAUUAGCAUCUAUGGCACUGACUUUGAGAAUAAAGGCACAUUAAACUUCAAACUGAGCAUUUUAAAGGGCUAUAUAGAGCAUUAACACAUAGAUUUUGUUCAAUGGCAAUAGUUCGGUUUGGUUAACAUAACCAAGUUGAUAGUAUAUUUUUAAAAUAGUAGAGCUUUAAACCUCGAGUGUAACAGGAAAAUUUUAGUUGACAUGUGUAUUUGCUGGAGAAGAACAAGUUUUUUAGUAUUUCAAUGUGGGGUAUUGAAAUUAUAGGUCAUAAUUAAUUUAGAUUGUCAUUAAAAUAGUUAUUACUGAAGUAUUUGAGCUGUAACUCUAGUUAUGAAAGGU
rnacentral:lncRNA from 1 species